AGAAUGAACCGGCGAGUUACGAUUUGAUGCAAGGUUAAGCAGUAAAUGUGGAGCCGUAGCGAAAGCGAGUCUGAAUAGGGCGUUUAGUAUUUGGUCGUAGACCCGAAACCAGGUGAUCUACCCUUGGUCAGGUUGAAGUUCAGGUAACACUGAAUGGAGGACCGAACCGACUUACGUUGAAAAGUGAGCGGAUGAACUGAGGGUAGCGGAGAAAUUCCAAUCGAACCUGGAGAUAGCUGGUUCUCUCCGAAAUAGCUUUAGGGCUAGCCUCAAGUGAUGAUUAUUGGAGGUAGAGCACUGUUUGGACGAGGGGCCCCUCUCGGGUUACCGAAUUCAGACAAACUCCGAAUGCCAAUUAAUUUAACUUGGGAGUCAGAACAUGGGUGAUAAGGUCCGUGUUCGAAAGGGAAACAGCCCAGACCACCAGCUAAGGUCCCAAAAUAUAUGUUAAGUGGAAAAGGAUGUGGCGUUGCCCAGACAACUAGGAUGUUGGCUUAGAAGCAGCCAUCAUUUAAAGAGUGCGUAAUAGCUCACUAGUCGAGUGACACUGCGCCGAAA
rnacentral:rRNA from 1 species